rnacentral:rRNA from 1 species
AAAUAUUAAAUGGCCGCAGUAGCCUGACUGUGCUAAGGUAGCAUAAUCAUUAGGUUUUUAAUUGGAAUCUGGUAUGAAUGAAUAGAUAAGGGGAUUCUGUCUUUAGAGUACAUUUUGAACUUAAAAUUUUAGUUAGAAUGCUAGAAUGAACUUAUGGGACGAUAAGACCCUAUAAAGCUUUACUUGCGGCUUCUUAGCUAUUUUUGCUAGAACUAAGAAGAGUUAAGUUUAACUGGGGCGGUUAGUACUAACAUACUAUCUUGACAAAAUGGGGGAUCCGUUUUUAACGAAAUUAGAUUAAGUUACUUUAGGGAUAACAGCAUAAUAUGCUUUUGGAGUUCUAAUCGAAGAGUAUGAUUGUGACCUCGAUGUUGAAUUAAUCCUAUUGUAUGGUGAAGAAGCUGUAUGAGUUAGUCUGUUCGACUAUUAAAUGAUUACAUGAUUUGAGUUCAAACCGGUUUGAG